UACGAUAUUGAGUAGCAGGUCUAUCAC
rnacentral:sRNA from 1 species